rnacentral:tRNA from 1 species
GACGGAGUGGCCGAGUGGUUAAGGCGUUAGUUUCAGGUACUAAUAUCAUCAGAUUCGUGGGUUCGAAUCCCACCUUCGUCA